CCACAAGGUUAGUUAUACGAGACUGUGUGUGUCUGUGUGUGUCCCCACAAGGUUAGUUAUACGAGACUGUGUGUGUCUGUGUGUGUCCCCACAAGGUUAGUUAUACGAGACUGUGUGUGUCUGUGUGUCCCCACAAGGUUAGUUAUACGAGACUGUGUGUGUGUGUCCCCACAAGGUUAGUUAUACGAGACUGUGUGUGUGUGUGUGUCCCACAAGGUUAGUUAUACGAGACUGUGUGUGUGUCUGUGUGUCCCCACAAGGUUAGUUAUACGAGACUGUGUGUGUGUCUGUGUGUCCCCACAAGGUUAGUUAUACGAGACUGUGUGUGUGUCUGUGUGUGUCCCCACAAGGUUAGUUACACGAGACUGUGUGUUUGUCUGUGUGUGUCCCCACAAGGUUAGUUAUACGAGACUGUGUGUGUGUGUGUCCACAAGGUUAGUUAUACAAGACUGUGUGUGUGUGUGUGUGUCUGUGUGUCCCCACAAGGUUAGUAAUACAAGAUUGUGUGUGUGUGUGUGUGUCCACAAGGUAAUUUAUACAAUACUCUGU
ensembl:lncRNA